UUAUUAUGUAGUCUAUUAGUAAUCCCAGGACAGCCUCUAGCCAAAAAAAAAAAAAAAAAAAAAAAAAAAAAAAAAAUCCUCCCGAGUAGCCGGGACCACAGGCGCCCGCCACCGCGCCCGGCUAACUGGAUAAGUACUUUGGCUCUAAUCUGUUAUAUUUCUCUUCCACUUUCAGCUAGUGUAAAGUUAUAAAAGUUUACUCUAAAAACUAAAAUAGUUAAUAGAGAAAAUUUCAAGGAACUUUCAUAAGGAACGGCAUACAUAUCUCUACAAUAAACCCCUUAAUGAAUAACGUUAUCAGAGUUAUUUAGGCUAAAAUUAAUUAACCUAAAUUUUCAAAUUGAAUCCCAAAAACUGUGGAUGCUGCCUUUCGUGUUGGCAUGCAAAAUUAAGCCUGCAUCUGUUUCCAUUCAAAAGUUCCAUCAAUGGGCACUUUCAAUUGGCUUGCUCCAUAAGUAAUUCAGAAGGUGGAACAGCAAAAAGAUAAGAGGGUUCAUUAAGUGAUUAAAGUCACUGGAAUUGAUAAUUUUUUUAUAUCAAAAGAUUUCACAAAGAAAAUGCGACUGUAGGGAAGUUUGGAUUAAUUUUUUUUUUUUUAACCUUGGGGGAAAGGGAGAGAGUACAAUUAAAUUAAGGGAGGUUCACGAAUAGUGUGGAAAGUCAAGAUUCUAAUUUACAUGAAGCUCUUCAGGGCCUCAUAGGGGUCAUAAUAAACAUGAUUUGGGGGAUAAUCAUUUGACUUGAGUUGACCAGAAUUAACUUGCUAGAAUAAAGGGAGACUGAGGCUUUCCCAGCUUCCGCUUGGGUGGGGAGCUUGUACCAUUAUUUGAAUGAGUUAUGCAUAGCCUGAGAGUGCUUUUUGAAUUUGACAAAAGGCAUCUUCACACAAGUGCCCACCCAGUCAACUUUUCCAUGCUUCCAAAGUCUUAUAAUCACUAGUGAAAGAGAACGCUUCUGCACCAGCACUGCAAGGGAUGAGGACAGCACGUGUUCAGGGGAGAGAAGUAGUCAGUGGCUCCUGCACCAAGAGGCAAAGGACAAACAUGCACCUCAGCAUCUCAAUCUUCACCAAACCAUGAGAAAAUUCUCAGUGCCUCAGAGCUUCCACUUUCUUUUCUUAAAGAAGGCUAUCGCUUUACAGAUAUUUCCUAAUGUAUUUCUAGGAACCCUUCAGGGGGGUCUAUGAGUCAUGCAUCAGACCUGUCUUUUGCACACAUCUGUGGUUGGCCAAGUCAGGGCUCUGCUGCCUUAGAAUGCAAGAGUUUCCCAAGGAACCUGGGCUGCACUAGAAUUCUUCCCUCACUGCCUGAGGCAUUGUCAUGACCUUUGAGUAAGUGAAGAGAGACUAGAACGUUAUUACCUCUGUAUGCGAUGAACCUCACCUCAUAAUACACUCCAUGGCCAUGGUGAGUCAGAACACCACUGCAGCUUGGCGCUAGUGAGCUUAAUGAUACAGGUCCAUAUCACUACUUUUGUAAAAUAAGAAGUACAUUUCCUCCAUUGCAAUUAGGAAUUAGGAUAAGGGAACCAGAAAACACUGGUUUGGGGGCUCAAGCUCCCAAACUUUACAGAAAACUUACUAAUAAAAUAAUUUUGUCCAUAGGGUGUAAAAUGCUGUUAGAAUGGCUGAUCCAGAAAAAUUUUAUUUUUCAGUUGCGACACUGUACCUACUACUAUCACUUUCCUCCAUUUGGAGAGGGAUGGGAUGAGAUAUAUAUAUAUUUUUUUUUUUUUCCAUAUUUCCAUCCCUGGGGAUAAACUCAGUAGGCUAGAGUAUAGAAAUAAUAUUCAAUAUUUACAUUGAUAUACAUUUUUAAAAAAUAAUAUCAACCACACAGAAAUUAUAUGAAAGGAGUUUGGGCAGAGAAGUGACACAAUAGACACAAUUUGAUUCAGGCUUUGUUUUUAGUCCAGCCCUGCAGUUCCCAAACUGUGCGCUGAGGGCGCCCUGGUGCUGCGGUGAUUCAUAUGGGCACUGCAGGAUGGACUACAUUUUAGAGGAAAACAUAGUGACAUUUGUCAAAUACCACAUGAGCUAUUAUUACCACGACUUUUCUUGGACAUAAAUCAACUUAAUAAGCAGGCUUGGACCUAAACUCAAUUAAUAAAUGGAACUAUUAGGUUUAGGGUGUUUUUGUUUUUGUUUUGUUUUGCUUUAGCUAGAUGCACUUUGAAAAAGAGCUAAGACAUUAAAGAUGCUGUGAAUGGAGUAAGUUUGGGAACCCAUGGUCUAGCCAAGUGAUGAUGGCUGGCAUUCCUGUGCUCAAUCUCUGGCAAGAAAAACAAAUAUGGCCAAGUCCUAUUGCUUGGAAUGGUUUGGAAAUAACAUAAUACUUUCGCAAAAACUAGUUUUCCUAAAAUAUGGGAAAUUUUGACUUACUUGCAUAUUGAUAUGGUUAGGCUUUGUAUCUCCACCCAAAUCUCAUCUUGAACUGUAAUUCUCAUAAUCCCCAUAAUCCCCAUGAGUCAAGGGAGAGACCAGGUGGAGAUAAUUGAAUCAUGGGGGUAGUUUCCCCCAUGCUGUUCUCAUCAUAGUGAACUCUCACGAGAUCUGAUGGUUUUAUAAGGGACUCUUCUCCAUUUGCUGGGCACUUCUCCUUCCUGACGCCUUGUGAAGAAGGUACCUUGCUUCCCCUUCGCCUUCUGCCAUGAUUAUAAGUUUCCUGAGGCCUCCCCAGCCAUGCUGAACUGUGAGUCAAUUAAACCUCCUUCCUUUAUAAAUUACCCACACUCCAGCAGUUCUUUAUAGCAGUAUGAAAGCAGACUAAUACACAUACUUACAUUGUAAAAGUAGUUUAAUAUAGAUGAAAAAUACAGUCAACUAGCACUUCUUCCUUGUUUUCUUAUUCAAUAAGUUAGGACUUAGAAAAAGUUUCGAGUUCACAGAUUGCCUAAAUAUCUUCUUCACUCAUCAUUCAAAAACUGGUGGCUCGUGAAAAUGGUAGUAUGAACGAGACAUGCCCACCCGUGAGAAAUCAUGUUUCUUCGUAUGAUAGGUCAUGGUAGGAAACUAAUCCUAAGCAGGAAGACAUGUUCCUGGAUAUAUAAUACAGGCUUCUCAGAACCAUUCACAUGAAAUUUGACCCUAAAGCAGCAGUCCUCAACCUUUUUGGCACAGAGAUUGGUUUUGUGAAAGACAAUUCUAUGAACCAGGGUGGAUGGGUGUGUUAGCCUAUUUUCACACUGCUGAUAAAGAGAUAACUGAAACUGGGAAGAAAAAGAGGUUUAUUAAUUGGACUUACAGUUCCACAUGACUGAGGAGGCCUCAGAAUCAUGGCAGGAGGUGAAAGGCACUUCUUACAUGACAUGAGAAAAAAAAAUGAGGAAGAUGCAAAAGCAGAAACUCCUGAUAAAACCAUCAGAUCUCGUGAGACUAAUUCACUAUCAUGAGAAUAGCAUGGGAAAAACUGGCCCCCAUGAUUCAAUUACCUCCCCCGGGUCCUCCCACAACACAUGGGAAUUCU
rnacentral:lncRNA from 10 species